rnacentral:rRNA from 1 species
GUUAGGAAUAUUGGACAAUGGGCGCAAGCCUGAUCCAGCCAUGCCGCGUGAACGAUGAAGGCCUUCGGGUUGUAAAGUUCUUUAGCCGAUGAUUAUAAUGACUGUAGUCGGAAAAUAAGCCCCGGCUAACUUCGUGCCAGCAGCCGCGGUAAUACGAAGGGGGCGAGCGUUAUUCGGAAUCACUGGGCGUAAAGCGUGCGUAGGCGGUCUCGUAAGUUAGGAGUGAAAGCCCAGGGCUCAACCUUGGAAUUGCUCUUAAUACUGCAAGGCUAGAAUCUCAGAGAGGAUAGCGGAAUUUCCAGUGUAGCAGUGAAAUGCGUAGAUAUUGGAAGGAACACCAGUGGCGUAAGCGGCUAUCUGGACGAGUAUUGACGCUGAGGCACGAAAGCGUGGGGAUCAAACAGGAUUAGAUACCCUGGUAGUCC